rnacentral:rRNA from 1 species
AUUGAACGCUGGCGGCAUGCCUUACACAUGCAAGUCGAACGGUAACAGGUUAAGCUGACGAGUGGCGAACGGGAGAGUAAUACAUCGGACCGUUCCCAUUAGUGGGGGAUAUCCCGGCGAAAGCCGGAUUCAUACCGCAUCCGACCUAAAGGGGAUAGGGGGGGAUCGCAAGACCUCCCUCUGUUUGACCGGCCGGUGUGGGAGUAGCUAGUUGGGGGGGUAAAAGCUCACCAAGGCGACGAUCUGUAGCUGGUCUGAGAGGACGACCAGCCACACGGGGAGUGAGAAACGGCACAGACACCGGGGGGAGGACGCGGCGGGGAAUUUUGGAGAAGGGGGGCAAGCGUGAUCCAGGCAUGCCGGGGGAGGGAAGAAGGCGCUAGGGUUGGAAACCGAUGUUGUCAGGGAAGAAAUAAUUUGGGUUAAUACGGCGGGGGGAUGACGGUACCGGAAGAAUAAGCACCGGCUAACUACGUG